GGCGAACGCUGGCGGCAGGCUUAACACAUGCAAGUCGAACGGAUCCUUCGGGAUUAGUGGCGGACGGGUGAGUAACACGUGGGAACGUGCCUUUUGGUUCGGAACAACACAGGGAAACUUGUGCUAAUACCGGAUGUGCCCUUCGGGGAAGGAUUUAUCGCCAUUAGAGCGGCCCGCGUCUGAUUAGCUAGUUGGUGAGGUAAAGGCUCACCAAGGCUACGAUCAGUAGCUGGUCUGAGAGGAUGAUCAGCCACACUGGGACUGAGACACGGCCCAGACUCCUACGGGAGGCAGCAGUGGGGAAGUCUUGCGCAAUGGGGGAAACCCUGACGCAGCCAUGCCGCGUGAAUGAUGAAGGUCUUAGGAUUGUAAAAUUCUUUCAGCGGGGACGAUAAUGACGGUACCCGCAGAAGAAGCUCCGGCUAACUUCGUGCCAGCCGCCGCCGU
rnacentral:rRNA from 1 species